UGCACCUGGCCCCAGACUGAUUUGUGGGGGGUGGGGGUGCUGGAAAGCUAAGACCCGCUCUGCCACAUUUUGCCACCCUCUAGCCUUUCUGAGAAAGAGACUUCUCAGAGAAAAGAACAGCGCGUGAAAUACACGAGAUGUUAAACCUGGCCCCGGGAAAUGAAAGUCCUGGUUCUCUGUACUGAGAGGCGGUGGUCACUUUUCCGCCAAGCUAGGAAAGAAAGAACAGCUGUCAUGAGAGGUUUGGUGCCGUGGGUGGUCUCCCAGAACCCUCCUGGUAGCCCUAGGAGGUGGCUGUCACUGACCCCUUCACAGCCAGGCAGAAACUGAGGCUGGCAGAGGCCGGGUGACUUUGUGGUCACACAGGGUUGGGGUGACUCUAAGACAGGCACUGUUCGCCCCUAAGCUCUCCUGCCCCAACCCCGGGGCCAUCCAGGCCCUGUUUGUGGCUUCCUUCCCUCCAGGCACUGAGCAUUCUGCAGGAUUGAAUUCCUCCUCUGUCCCCCACCUCCCCUGCCCCUCCUUCCUCCAUCCCUGCACAGGCAGGAAACACGGGCCCCCAGCCCUGGCCUUCGCAUAUAAAUAUUUGUCUAGCAAAUUAAUAAACACAGAGGGGAGGCCUGCAGUAAAACCAGGCAGGAGCCGCGUCCUCUACCACAGCUUCUCCGCUGUGUGACCUCAGGCAAGUUACUGCGCCUCUCUGCGCCUGUCCCCUUCUCCGUGAAACGGUAGAGUGGAACAUAGUCCGUGCAACAAGAUAUUAGGGAAGCCGAGUCGAGAUUCCAGGAUGAAGUCACUUUGUGACUUCCCUGCGCAAGGAAGAGACCGCUUACUUGCACCAGGAGGAUCCUCAGAGGGGGCUAAUGCCUGAACUGUUCUGGAAUUCUCCUGCCUGAAGCCCACCAAUGACUUCUCUGCUGUCCUCAGAACUAACCCAGAGCAGCCUGUAUCCUUAAACCAACCUCCUCUUCCGGGAGCCACCACCGCUCGCCCCUCAGGCCUGGCCAGUCCUCUCUGCAGCAGGUGCCUCCUACCUUGAAUCCUUGCGUCUGCCUGCACUCUUGGCUCACAGGCAGCCAGGAAGAUCCUUUGAAAACACAACUGCGAUAAUGUCACCUCGGUGCACUCAACAAGCCAGUGGCUUCCCAUUGUAGUUGCGGGAAAACCCUAAAUCGUUAUAGCUCACCAAGCUCCAGACCUCAGGGUCCAGUUCCCCUCAACCUCCUCUCCUCCUGCCUGGUCACUCACCUGCUUUAACCACACAGGCCUCUUUGCUGUUCCCCUCGGAGCCCGUGUACCUGCCUUUUUCCUCCCCCCAAAUGUCUUUCUCCAGACGCUUCUGUGGUGGAUGCCUUCCCUUCCAGGUCUCUGCCCAAAUACCACCUCCUUAGAGCUUCCCCGGACCCCCAGCUGCUGUGCCCUCAACUCUCUCUCACAUGUACACCCUAAUUCUCCUCUUCACCCCUUACCCACCUUAGUUUUUCUUCUAAGUGCUUACUUCCACCCGAAAUUAUUUUACUUGUAAAGUGUAUAAAUUAAAAAUGUUACAAUACUGUCCAUCUCUCUAAAGCAUAAUCUCUAGAAGAGCAUGAACAGUGAAGGAAAAGAAGAAAGGGUAAAGGAAUUAGGGGCAGAUCUGGCUGAGUGGAGGCAGGCAGGAAGGAGGCAGAGGUGAAACCUGGGCGCUAGGAUCUCUGGGGGAAUGGCGGGUCGAGCUCAGGGAGCCGGCACAAGGCCCUGUGGAAUGAGGCUGAGGGUGACUUUCGGAACAAAGUAUAUGGAGCUGUAAAUACCAGAAGGGGAGCCGUGGAACCCAGAAGCAGAAUUCAGUAUUGGCCCUAAAGCCUCUUCCAUCUCUCUGGAAGGCAAGUUAUAACUUCUGGAAAGGACGGUGAGGGUCGGAUCCUAUAGAUCGUAUUCCAGGCUUGGCCUGAGCUGCUCUCCUGACCAUCCUCUGAGCCGGGAGGGUGUGGACUCAAGAUUUGGGGCCAAGGAGGAACUCGCAGCGUCACGCCCUCUGGAAUGCUGUGGCGGUGAUUAACGCGCUCCAGAUUUGCACAGUUCCCGUCAGAACAUGAAACCAGAGGAAAAAAAACCCAUGAGGCCCAGAUUGAUCAGCGCAGAACUUAGCAACAGCACACCAAGCUGUAGCCAGCCCACUUCUGCAGCGAGGGGCUUUCCGCCAGGCCUGGGGCUUGGGAACUCCGAGCGGGCUCUGCUGUCUCUGGCUGGUUUGCAGGGCCCAGAGGCCCACCCCGUGGGCCAUUGCGGUGGUGGGUCUGCGACUUGUGCUGGAACCCCAGGGCAUCCCAGAGAUGGCCUACAAUCCCUACGGGGAGCCUGAGAAAGGAAGGCUGGUGGGUGUCCCCACGCUUGGCCACCUUGGGAACCCUGGUUCACUCUGCUGGUUGAUGGGCUCACCAGGCCCACACCUUUGCCAGGAGCUGACAAGAGCGUGGGGGGACUUCUGAGUUUCAGAAACAUCCAGAUCACCCCGGCAUUUCACGGUGAGUCACAGCCUCCGGUCUUCACCAUGACAUCUGGACGGCAAGGAACUUGGCCGGCUCCCGACCCAGUUCCUCAGUGCCUCCUCCCUCCACCAGGCCAGCUGCACACUCCCUGGGCCAGCAUGAUCGUGUUAUAAAAUAUCUCAAGCAUAUGGAGGUUCAUAAAAUCGUACUGGGGACAAGCACCCCUCACUCCUGUUUAA